AUUCAACCUAAACGACAUUAUUAGUUACUGAAAAUUAAAUGCAGGCGAAAGACGUGUUUUUCGCGCUCGCAAACAUAGUUUAAUUUACUCUCAAUUUCAACAAUUUACUUGAUAGUCAAGAAAAGGAUGAUCCCUAAGGUACAAGCGCUACAGCGCCCCAUGCGUAGAUAUCGAUGGGAAACGUGGGGGAAGACCGACAGAAAAGGGAGGCUGAUCGGUCAUAUCGUGUGCCAUGUGCCGAAGGACCAAGCCCCAUUUUCGUGCGGUUUGUGCAACUUUCGCUGCACAGAAGUCGCCGACGUCAUCAAACACAUCACGAAAUAUAAGAGUCAUGUUGACGAAGCUAAACGUGCCGAAGUAGUCGACUACUCGCAAAUCUUGAGGAAAGCCGAAAAGCCCGUUUAAGCAGUGCCCCAGAUAAGCUGCGUAUAUGCAUCUUUCAUCCUAUUUAAAUGUUUAAAAACGCAAAGAAAUACAAUAUCAUGCGUAUUGAAAACGCAACCAAUUUGACUUUUAUGCACAUUCCUAAAAGUCAAUGCGUACGAUACAAUAGCUUUAAUAAAAAAAAUUCUUUGCUCGUUUUCGGUAUAUCCUCUUUGGAAUAUUAAUCUUAAUGCGACGUCGCUUUUAUUCAGCAAACGUCUGGAUGAAGGAGCAGGAAAACAAUCACAGUUAUUCAAACGCUCUGCGGACCAGAUUUCAUAGUUAAUUACAGCAUCUGACCAAAUUAUUUAUGGCAAACAUGCGUUUUCAAUCUGAUUUAAUCUGUCGCUCUUUGUGCAUGUAUUUUGUAAAGCGUCUGUACUUUCAGUUUCUACAACGAUGCGAAAUAAAAAUGUCGAAAGACGUCCGCGAUUGUUGCGCCAAAAUAUCAAUCGAUCGCAAACUUUUUGAACCAAGAAAGCAAGAGCCAUUAAGUGACAAAUCAUUCGUGUUAUUGAUUUUUUAAGUUUGAUGUUUAUAUUAUGCACAGUUUCAAGAACUAAAGAUGUUAUGAAACAUCAGUUUAUGACAGUUAAUUAUAACAGUUUAAAGUUUUAUUGAAUCAAUAAAAGUGUGCAGCUUCAACAGAAGUAAUCUGGAUCUAAAUGGAUACGUUGAAGUGACCUGGAAGAUUGGCUUUUAUUCAACGGGGAAAGCAGUAAAGAUUUAAAGGUACGAAUUUUUAUAACUCAUUUCACCCUAUUUCAAAACUGAAAUCACCCUAUUUUUUAAAAUCAAUGGGUGAAAACCCUAUUUCCCAAAUAAUUAUCUGGGACACUGGUUGAAGUCGACAACAUGAUGAAGUUGGAUGAAGGCGACCUGGAGUAAGCCUCCGAAGGCAUCUUUGAGCAAGAUUCGAAGGCUUUGUUUUACCCGACUGGAUGUCGCAAUGCAGAUUGCAAACAUCUUCACCCUCUGCUCCUGUCUCUGCGUUCAUGCGAGUGGAGAGGACCAUGGAAAACACUCCCAAUAACGCAACUAGUGUUGCACAAAGACCAUGUCACCCACCGCAAGUUUCCACCUUUCGGGCAGUUCAUGCGUGAGUUCCAAACCUGUGGCCAGUGACGAUCCCGUUUCCGAUGCCAAGGAUUAUGAGUAGCGUAACCCUGGACGUGAACAAGGAAGGAAACGCUCAAGUAGCAGGUACAAACGCUUUAACAGUCCGAAUUUAAAUGAACGCCCCGCUUACUGCUGAAAAUGAUUUUUAAGUGUUUGCAUCGAGGACUCGUUUAUCCAAGACUUGUGUUCGUCUGCAACCACAUAAACUACAUGGCCAGUCGCGUAACCCUUGCGAUAUAGACCUGCAAGCAAAUAUGUCGACAAAUUUCAAACUGGUAGCUCGUCACAGAAUGAGGUGCUCAGGUAAGCAUUUAAAGACUUGGUGAACCAGCUGAGUAGGGGUAAUAGGGAGAUACUUAAGACAAUUGAAAAGAACACUACUGAGUUGCGUCCAAUCAACAACAAAAUUGGGCCAUAUAAGUGAUGUCAUCAAAGCCCUCAGGUUAACCAAGACUUAGAAAGGCGGUCCAAGUUUAAGAAGCUUUAGAAGGAGCAGUUCUAAGUCGAAGAAGUAAGGCGUGAUAGUGGGUGGCAGUUCCACCGUACUCUCGCAGCUAAUAGCACAGGUCCAAUCCGAUCCAAUUAAAUUUAUCUACAUUGCCAUGUAACAUUUUCAAAGAGGAUGUAUUGUUGUUUUACUAUUUUUAAGUUGUUUUUUAUUGUUGUGAGUUUAUCUUAAACCAUUACGCUUUACCAUAUAAAUAAGAUAUUCAUCAGUAAACUGUUUUAGUAUUUGUUCUUAUACUAUUUGUUCAAUAAAUCCUAUUCCACCUAUUCCUACACAGUUUGGACCUACUCAAAAUGAUUGCAGUUUAUCUGAUUUCUCUUUUGUAGCUAUUGAUGUUGUUGGAAACAUUUUGGAUACAUAAAUUAAAGACUAAGAUUCCUAAUGGUCUAAAUAAUAAACUGCUUUAUAACAUUUAGAAUAUAAGCAUAAUUCACAAAUACAUUUGAUGUUUGCCUAUUACACUGUCCUUUUAGUAUUUGUUCCAAUUACAAGCUGAGUGUUGCAACAGGAGUUUUGCCAAAAAGACAAAUAGGAACAUUAAAAGAUCUGUAAUUUGGCUGUAAAUGAAACUUUACUUACCAAAUUCUUUAUUUAUCGGGCCAUGUUAAAUUACACCCCCGGAAACCCGACAUGCUGUGAGAAGUUGGACACGCUAGGAGAUGUAGCCGAUAUAUUUCAAAGAAUUUCGGUAGGAUUUCCCCGCGGCUGUCCAGGAUUGGCGAAAGAAACAGGAGGAGCUGCUCACCAAUCUCUCCAGACACGAAGACGCUGUAAGGUGACUCAUGGAGGAAUCCAGAAAGUCCUCUACAAGUAGGAGAAGCUCCAUAUGAAAGCCGAUGACAAUUUCCUGAACAUACUGCGGGAAACAUUUCACAGUGUAAAACUAUUUUCAGUUCAAAAACAUUUUGGUUUUCUAUAAAGAAAGGAAACAAAACAAACUUUCUUGAUAGAAGAUUCUUUAUUAUGAAUCCAAUGACGUGUUGUGUUUCCAUAUGACUUUCUCUUAUUAUUGGUAUAACAGCAAACAUGCAAACAUAAAAGAAUAAUUAAUGAUUCGUUUCACGGCCAAAUAAAACUUUACCAUUUGUUAUAAUACUAUCUGAAAUCAUAACUCGAACUCUGAAGUUUGUAUCACAUUAGUAAUGAUUUUCAAAUAAUUAUUAAAUAUCACCCUGUUUUCCGACGGUGCUUGCAUUUGUGAUGGAACUCGCAUAGUACUAUAUUCACAGAUAUUUAAAGGUUUCAGUUGUCAUCGUAAUUAAAGCUUAAAGUGAUAUUAUCUAACAUUAUAUAGGUGUCUAUCGCAA